UCCCCCUUAUUUCGAUCUGUAGAACGGCGGACUGUUAAUCCGUAUGUCGCAAGUUCAAGUCUUGCAGGGGGAG
rnacentral:tRNA from 1 species